rnacentral:rRNA from 1 species
AUUGAACGCUGGCGGCAGGCCUAACACAUGCAAGUCGAGCGAGCGGCGGAAGGGGGAGGAAUGUAUGGGGACUGCCCGAUAGAGGGGGAUAACUACUGGAAACGGUAGCUAAUACCGCAUACUAUCGGAUUACCCUUAUGGGAUUAGCUAGUGGGUGAGGUAAUGGCUCACCUGGGCGACGAACCCUAGCUGGUCUGAGAGGAUGAUCCGCCACACUGGGACUGAGACACGGCCCAGACUCCUACGGAGGCAGCAGUGGGGAAUAUUGCACAAUGGGCGCAAGCCUGAUGCAGCCAUGCCGCGUGUAUGAAGAAGGCCCUAGGGUUGUAAAGUACUGUCAGUCGGGAGGCGUUACCGACAGAAGAAGCACCGGCUAACUCCGUGCCAGCAGCCGCGGUAAUUC